rnacentral:tRNA from 1 species
ACCUGGCUGGCUUGGUAGGAGGGGUAUGUGACUCCUAAUCACAGGGCUGUGGGUUCGAGCCCCACACUGGGUG